AGUGAACGCUGGCGGUAGGCCUAACACAUGCAAGUCGAACGGCAGCACAGUAAGAGCUUGCUCUUACGGGUGGCGAGUGGCGGACGGGUGAGGAAUACAUCGGAAUCUACUUUUUCGUGGGGGAUAACGUAGGGAAACUUACGCUAAUACAGCAUACGACCUACGGGUGAAAGCAGGGGAUCUUCGGACCUUGCGCGAUUGAAUGAGCCGAUGUCGGAUUAGCUAGUUGGCGGGGUAAAGGCCCACCAAGGCGACGAUCCGUAGCUGGUCUGAGAGGAUGAUCAGCCACACUGGAACUGAGACACGGUCCAGACCCCUACGGGAGGCAGCAGUGGGGAAUAUUGGACAAUGGGCGCAAGCCUGAUCCAGCCAUACCGCGUGGGUGAAGAAGGCCUUCGGGUUGUAAAGCCCUUUUGUUGGGAAAGAAAAGCAGCAGGUUAAUACCCCGCUGUUCUGACGGUACCCAAAGAAUAAGCACCGGCUAACUUCGUG
rnacentral:rRNA from 1 species